rnacentral:rRNA from 1 species
AGGACGAACGCUGGCGGCGUGCCUAACACAUGCAAGUCGAACGGAGAUACGAUUUCGGUUGUAUCUUAGUGGCGAACGGGUGAGUAACGCGUGAGCAACCUGACCUUUAGAGGGGGAUAACACUUGGAAACAGGUGCUAAUACCGCAUAAGACCACGACCUGACAUCAGGAUAAGGUCAAAAGGAGAAAUCCGCUAGAGGAGGGGCUCGCGUCCCAUUAGAUAGAUGGCGGGUAACGGCCCACCAUGUCGACGAUGGGUAGCCGAGCUGAGAGGCUGAUCGGCCACACUGGAACUGAGACACGGUCCAGACUCCUACGGGAGGCAGCAGUGGGGAAUAUUGGGCAAUGGGCGCAAGCCUGACCCAGCAACGCCGCGUGAGGGAAGAAGGCCUUCGGGUUGUAAACCUCUGUCCUUGGUGACGAAACAAAUGACGGUAGCCAAGGAGGAAGCCCCGGCUAACUACGUG